UUGAGCCAACUGGGAAUAUAAGAUUACUCUGUUGUAUGUUAAAAUACAACAAGUAUUGCGUUCCUAAACUCCUAGAAGACAAAGGAUGCCACCCCGCUGCUGCUCUACAAUCUGCGACGGAGAUAGAGACAAGAAUGAAAAAUUGUCCAACAACCAACCCGAUAUGCGUCCCUCCACCACAGUGCAAGCGAGGCUUACCCGACGCCAAACUCAUUUGCGAGUACAGAUAUAAAAAGGAACAUGGAACCAUAGCUCCAAAGCGUCGUGCAGACCUGCAAGCGAGAGAUCAGGGCCGAGACAAAGUGCACAAAAAACGUUGCUGUCUAAUGCAAUUCAUCAAGGAUUGUGUUCCGAAAAUACUCCAAGAAGAGUACUUAUGUAGUGAUCCAGACUUUCUUGAGAUGUUCUUCGAGCAAAUACGAACCGAGUGUGGAACAUCCAAGUGGGACUGUA